rnacentral:rRNA from 1 species
UACGGAAGGCAGCAGUGGGGAAUAUUGCACAAUGGGCGAAAGCCUGAUGCAGCUAUGCCGCGUGUAUGAAGAAGGCCUUAGGGUUGUAAAGUACUUUCAUCGGGGAGGAAAAAACAAAACUAAUAAUUUUAUUUCUUGACGUUACCCGAAAAAGAAGCACCGGCUAACUCCGUGCCAGCAGCCGCGGUAAUACGGAGGGUGCUAGCGUUAAUCAGAAUUACUGGGCGUAAAGGGCACGUAGGUGGUUUUUUUAAGUCAGAUGUGAAAUCCCUGGGCUUAACCUGGAACUGCAUUUUGAAACUGAAAUACUAGAGUAUCGUAGAGGGAGGUAGAAUUCUAGGUGUAGCGGUGAAAUGCGUAGAUAUCUGGAGGAAUACCUGUGGCGAAAGCGGCCUCCUAAACGAAUACUGACACUGAGGGUGCGAAAGCGUGGGGAGCAAACAGGGAUUAGAUACC